rnacentral:rRNA from 1 species
GGAAUUUUGCGCAAUGGGCGCAAGCCUGAUCCAGCCAUGCCGCGUGUGUGAAGAAGGCCUUCGGGUUGUAAAGCACUUUCGGACGGAACGAAAUCGCGCGGGUGAACGAUCCGCGUGGCUGACGGUACCGUAAGAAGAAGCACAGGCUAACUACGUGCCAGCAGCCGCGGUAAUACGUAGGGUGCAAGCGUUAAUCGGAAUUACUGGGCGUAAAGGGUGCGCAGGCGGCCCCGCAUGUCGAGUGUGAAAUCCCCGGGCUUAACUUGGGAAUGGCGCUCGAAACUACGGGGCUGGAGUGUGGCAGAGGGAGGUGGAAUUCCACGUGUAGCGGUGAAAUGCGUAGAGAUGUGGAGGAACACCGAUGGCGAAGGCAGCCUCCUGGGCCGACACUGACGCUCAUGCACGAAAGCGUGGGGAGCAAA